UGUCAUGAUACAUGUGCUUCAGUGUGAAAUGUUUGAUGAGUUCAGGUGGUUUCUCUGAUAGUCAUGAUUCACUUCUUUGUGUUGUGAAGAUCCAGUGGACAGCACAGCGUUCAGUCAUUAUACAGUCACUCUGCUGGUGUUUUUACCUCAGUUUCUCAUAAUAGCAGCUCUGUGGAUGUGGUUUUUCAUCAGAAUGCAUCUCAAUUUAAAACUAAACUGAAAACAAAAGUGAAGAUUCUGAUGUCUUCAUCUACAUCUGCUGUCUGUCCAUCAGAGUGAUGUC